rnacentral:rRNA from 1 species
UACGGAGGGGACUAGCGUUGUUCGGAAUUACUGGGCGUAAAGCGCGCGUAGGCGGACCUGCAAGUCGGGGGUGAAAGCCCGGGGCUCAACCUCGGAACUGCCUUCGAUACUGCGGGUCUCGAGUCCGGGAGAGGUGAGCGGAAUUCCUAGUGUAGAGGUGAAAUUCGUAGAUAUUAGGAAGAACACCAGUGGCGAAGGCGGCUCACUGGCCCGGUACUGACGCUGAGGCGCGAAAGCGUGGGGAGCAAACAGG